CCUACGGGGGGCAGCAGUGAGGAAUAUUGGUCAAUGGCCGGAAGGCUGAACCAGCCAAGCCGCGUGAGGGAGGAAGGCGCAGAGCGUCGCAGACCUCUUUUGCCGGGGGACAAAAGGCCGGACUCGUCCGGUCCUGAGGGUACCCGGAGAAAAAGCAUCGGCUAACUCCGUGCCAGCAGCCGCGGUAAUACGGAGGAUGCGAGCGUUCUCCGGAUUCAUUGGGUUUAAAGGGGGCGCAGACGGCGAUGCAAGCCAGGAGUGAAAGCCCGGGGCCCAACCCCGGGACUGCUCUUGGAACUGCGUGGCUGGAGUGCAGGAGGGGCAGGCGGAAUUCCUGGUGUAGCGGGGAAAUGCGUAGAUAUCAGGAGGAACACCGGUGGCGAAGGCGGCCUGCUGGACUGCAACUGACGUUGAGGCCCGAAAGCGUGGGGAGCAAACAGGAUUAGAUACCCUUGUAGUC
rnacentral:rRNA from 1 species